UACAGGGGGGUGCAAACGUUGCUCGGAAUCAUUGGGCGUAAAGCGCACGUAGGCGGUUCGUUAUGUCGGAUGUGAAAGCCCUUGGCUUAACCGAGGAAGUGCAUCCGAAACUGGCGAGCUAGAGUACUAAAGAGGAUCGCGGAAUUCCCGGUGUAGAGGUGAAAUUCGUAGAUAUUCGGAGAACACCAGUGGCGAAGGCGG
rnacentral:rRNA from 1 species